AUACUUAACUGGCAGGGAAUAUACCAUGAUCACAAAGGUGGUUUUCCCUGGGAAAUGCUUACCCAUUGCAUUUUGGGUGUGCUGGCCCCUGCGAUUUCCCCAAAUAUGGGAGACUUGACUGCAUAUUUGUGGUAACGGGAGACUGUGUUCACGCUAUCCCCUG
ensembl:snRNA U1 U1 spliceosomal RNA